GUGUCAGCCGCCGCGGUAAUACGUAGGGUGCAAGCGUUAAUCGGAAUUACUGGGCGUAAAGCGAGCGCAGGCGGUUAUGUAAGACAGAUGUGAAAUCCCAGGGCUUAACCUUGGAACUGCAUUUGUGACUGCAUGGCUAGAGUGUGUCAGAGGGGGGUGGAACUCCACGUGUAGCAGUGAAAUGCGUAGAGAUGUGGAAGAACACCGAUGGCGAAGGCAGCCCCCUGGGAUAACACUGACGCUCAGGCUCGAAAGCGUGGGGAGCAAACAGGAUUAGAUACCCUGGUAGUCC
rnacentral:rRNA from 1 species